GCAGGCCUACGGGAGGCAGCAGUGGGGGAUAUUGCACAAUGGGGGAAACCCUGAUGCAGCGACGCCGCGUGAGCGAUGAAGUAUUUCGGUAUGGAAAGCUCUAUAAGCAGGGAAGAAAAUGACGGUACCUGACUAAGAAGCACCGGCUAACUACGUGCCUGCAGCCGCGGUAAUACGUAGGGGGGAAGCGUUAUCCGGAUUUACUGGGUGUAAAGGGAGCGUAGACGGAAGGGCAAGUCUGAGGUGA
rnacentral:rRNA from 1 species